UUUCUUGGCUCCAAAAAGCUCACUGUAGAUGCUGACUGCAGCCAUGAAAAUAAAAGACUCUUGCUCCUUGAAAGAAAAGCUGUGACCAACCUAGACAGCAUAUUAAAAAGCAGAGACAUUAUUUUGCCAAAAAAGAAAUGACUUUAACUGUG